rnacentral:rRNA from 1 species
UUCCAUUGUUUACAGGUUAACACUGCAGGACAAUUAUAUGAGCAUUUGGUUCCAAGCUACACUAUACGACGUAGAUUGCCAGAUUAUUCGUUUCGCAAUAUCUUUUGGCUUUUAUGGAGCCACCAAGAUCUGAUUGUAUACCGUCCCAUCUGGUUGACGUUUUCAUGCAUUGAACAAUGCGAUCCUCAUGAUCUUCCGGCCAAAGCAAAGAGAUCCGAGAUUCCGGGAACCCCUGUUGAGCUGCGGAGAACUGGUGCGUUUUGGCGGGAAGUCGGGAAGAUGAUGAACUGUUUCUUCAUUCACCUGGCCAGGGCAUGGUUUGAGAUCGAUUGCAGAGACGGCGCGGGGUGCGGCGCAUUCAAUCCUUGGACGGCACGGUGGAUAUCCGCCGGCACCAAGGGCCUUGUGCGGCAGAUUGUUGUACUCCAUGCGUUCUCAAGUUGUGAUGAAUCCGUGGUUGCCGAUGGCAAUGCAGGAUGGUGA